rnacentral:rRNA from 1 species
UACGGGGGGGGCAAGCGUUGUUCGGAAUUACUGGGCGUAAAGGGCUCGUAGGCGGCCAACUCAGUCGGACGUGAAAUCCCUCGGCUUAACCGGGGAAUGGCGUCCGAUACUGGAUGGCUUGAGUUCGGGAGAGGGAUGCGGAAUUCCAGGUGUAGCGGUGAAAUGCGUAGAUAUCUGGAGGAACACCGGUGGCGAAGGCGGCAUCCUGGACCGACACUGACGCUGAGGGAGCGAAAGCCAGGGGAGCAAACGGG